AGUGAACGCUGGCGGUAGGCCUAACACAUGCAAGUCGAACGGCAGCACAGUAAGAGCUUGCUCUUACGGGUGGCGAGUGGCGGACGGGUGAGGAAUACAUCGGAAUCUACUUUUUCGUGGGGGAUAACGUAGGGAAACUUACGCUAAUACCGCAUACGACCUACGGGUGAAAGCAGGGGAUCUUCGGACCUUGCGCGAUUGAAUGAGCCGAUGUCGGAUUAGCUAGUUGGCGGGGUAAAGGCCCACCAAGGCGACGAUCCGUAGCUGGUCUGAGAGGAUGAGCAGCCACACUGGAACUGAGACACGGGCCAGAGUCCUACGGGAGGCAGCAGUGGGGAAUAUUGGACAAUGGGCGCAAGCCUGAUCCAGCCAUACCGCGUGGGUGAAGAAGGCCUUCGGGUUGUAAAGCCCUUUUGUUGGGAAAGAAAAGCAGCAGGUUAAUACCCCGCUGUUCUGACGGUACCCAAAGAAUAAGCACCGGCUAACUUCGUG
rnacentral:rRNA from 1 species